AGUGAACGCUGGCGGUAGGCCUAACACAUGCAAGUCGAACGGCAGCACAGGAGAGCUUGCUCUCUGGGUGGCGAGUGGCGGACGGGUGAGGAAUACAUCGGAAUCUACUCUGUCGUGGGGGAUAACGUAGGGAAACUUACGCUAAUACCGCAUACGACCUACGGGUGAAAGCAGGGGACCUUCGGGCCUUGCGCGAUUGAAUGAGCCGAUGUCGGAUUAGCUAGUUGGCGGGGUAAAGGCCCACCAAGGCGACGAUCCGUAGCUGGUCUGAGAGGGUGGUCGGCCACACGGGAACUGAGAGACGGUCCAGACUCCUACGGGAGGCAGCAGUGGGGAAUAUUGGACAAUGGGCGCAAGCCUGAUCCAGCCAUACCGCGUGAGUGAAGAAGGCCUUCGGGUUGUAAAGCCCCUUUGUUGGGAAAGAAAUCCAGCUGGCUAAUACCCGGUUGGGAUGACGGUACCCAAGGAAUAAGCACCGGCUAACUUCGUGCCAGCAGCCGCCGUAA
rnacentral:rRNA from 1 species